rnacentral:tRNA from 1 species
AGAAUGUAGCUAAAUUAGUAAAGCACCUCCCUUACACCGAGGAAAUAUCUGUGCAACCCGGAUCACUCUGAACC